rnacentral:siRNA from 1 species
UUGAUUCUGUUCUUCAGCCAUUGC